rnacentral:misc_RNA from 1 species
GCAAACUUGGUCAUUUAGAGGAAGUAAAAGUCGUAACAAGGUUUCCGUAGGUGAACCUGCGGAAGGAUCAUUAGUAGAGAGUGAAGGUUGUAUUUUAGACUAGUUUCUUUCUUUCUUUACGAGGUGGUUGGGCAAGCCCAACCAUGAGUAAAGAUAAAGAGUAAAGAGGAGUAAAGCAAGAUGAGCCAAGGAUAAUCCCAAACCCCACUUGUCACACUCUAACCCUAGUAAAAUUUAUUCACAUUUAAUCACCAACAAUAUUACAAGAGAACCUUGCUGCAAUGGAUCUCUCGGCUCUUGCAUCGAUGAAGAACGCAGC